GCCUCUGUAGCUUAAUGGAUAAAGCAGCGGUCUUCGGAACCGCAGAUGGGGGUUCGAUUCCCUUCAGAGGCG
rnacentral:tRNA from 1 species